AGAAUCAACGCUGGCGGCGUGCCUAACACAUGCAAGUCGAACGAGAAAGUGGAGCAAUCCAUGAGUAAAGUGGCGCACGGGUGAGUAACACGUGACUAACCUACCUUUUAGUGGGGGGAUAACCUAGGGAAACCUGGGCUAAUACCGCAUAAUACCUACGGGUCAAAGCAGCAAUGCGCUGAAAGAGGGGGUCGCGGCCGAUUAGCUAGUUGGCGGGGUAAUGGCCCACCAAGGCAGUGAUCGGUAUCCGGCCUGAGAGGGCGCACGGACACACUGGAACUGAAACACGGUCCAGACUCCUACGGGAGGCAGCAGUGGGAAUUUUGCGCAAUGGGGGAAACCCUGACGCAGCAACGCCGCGUGGAGGAUGAAGUCCCUUGGGACGUAAACUCCUUUCGAUCGGGACGAUAAUGACGGUACCGGAAGAAGAAGCCCGGCUAACUUCGCGCCAGCAGCCGC
rnacentral:rRNA from 1 species